rnacentral:lncRNA from 1 species
GAACAAACUCUGAAUUCCUCAUACAAAGCUCUGAACCUCUGAACUGUGUUGUUGCACUUUUAGUUCAAAUAUUUAGUAUUUGUUCUUCUAGGUUCUGAUUAAGAGUUGUUGUAUACAUUCUACUAUUCAUUUCAUUUGUACUUGAGAAGUCUCUUGCUUGUGUGCUUGAGCAUUGUGGUGAAGUCUCUUGCUUGUGUGCUUGAGCAGUUGUAAUCUUGUGUGAUUAUAGUGAAAUCCCUUGGAAGUGCAAGGGGACUGGACUACUCUCGUUUUGUGAGAGGAACCAGUAUAAAUUGCUU